rnacentral:rRNA from 1 species
AUUGAACGCUGGCGGCAGGCCUAACACAUGCAAGUCGAGCGAGCGGAGGACGGGUGAGUAAUGUAUGGGGAUCUGCCUUAUGGCGGGGGAUAACUACGGGAAACGGUAGCUAAUCCCGCAUACCAUCAGAGGAACCAUUAUGGUAUUAGCUUGUAGGUGAGGUAACGGCACACCUAGGCGACGAUCCCUACCUGGUCUGAGAGGAGGAUCAGCCACACUGGGACUGAGACACGGCCCAGACUCCUACGGGAGGCAGCAGUGGGGAAUAUUGCACAAUGGGCGCAAGCCUGAUGCAGCCAUGCCGCGUGUAUGAAGAAGGCCUUCGGGUUGUAAAGUACUUUCAGUCGGGAGGCGUUACCGACAGAAGAAGCACCGGCUAACUCCGUGCCAGCAGCCGCGGUAAUUC